UAAAAUAAUUAACAGAAACCAAUCACCUUAUGGGCCUGGUAAAGCCUGCUGUUCUGAUACUGCUGCCUCCAACGCUAUGGAGACCUGGGUUUCCCCUUGGUUGGUGGACACAAACAAACAUGAAUUGCUGACUGCAACCUGCUCCAAAUGACCGUGGACCAUGGACUUGCUAAAAAUCUGAUAUGGACCAAUGUAGCUGAUAUAAAUGCUCCCUGGCUCUUCAACAAAGUCCACAAAUCAAAUGUUCCUAAGAUUUUCUCUUUUUGACUAGCAUUUCACCUUUGUUAACCCUUGACAACGACGCCCCAAAGUCAACUGGAAGCAGUUAAAAGAAUACAUCGUCCAAUAACCCCUGUUUAAAAUGCUAAGUCAAAA